CCUACGGGAGGCUGCAGUGGGGAAUAUUGGACAAUGGGCGAAAGCCUGAUCCAGCCAUGCCGCGUGUGUGAAGAAGGCCUUCGGGUUGUAAAGCACUUUCAGUGGGGAAGAAAGCCUUGGGGCUAAUACCCUCGAGGAAGGACAUCACCCACAGAAGAAGCACCGGCUAACUCCGUGCCAGCAGCCGCGGUAUACGGAGGGUGCGAGCGUUAAUCGGAAUUACUGGGCGUAAAGCGCGCGUAGGCGGUCUGAUAAGCCGGUUGUGAAAGCCCCGGGCUCAACCUGGGAACGGCAUCCGGAACUGUCAGGCUAGAGUGCAGGAGAGGAAGGUAGAAUUCCCGGUGUAGCGGUGAAAUGCGUAGAGAUCGGGAGGAAUACCAGUGGCGAAGGCGGCCUUCUGGACUGACACUGACGCUGAGGUGCGAAAGCUUGGGUAGCAAACAGGAUUAGAUACCCUUGUAGUC
rnacentral:rRNA from 1 species